AGCAGCCGCGGUAAUUCCAGCUCCAAUAGCGUAUAUUAAAGUUGUUGCAGUUAAAAAGCUCGUAGUUGAAUUUCGGGAUCAAUAUGUUGGUCGUGCCUUGGUACGUACUGGCAUUAUUGGUUUCUACCUUCUGAAGAACCUCGAUGUCAUUAAUUUGGUGUCUUGGGGAAUCAGGACUGUUACUUUGAAAAAAUUAGAGUGUUUAAAGCAGGCUCGCGCUUGAAUACAUUAGCAUGGAAUAAUGAAAUAGGACGUUUGAUUCUAUUUUGUUGGUUUCUAGGAUUGACGUAAUGAUUAAUAGGGAUAGUUGGGGGCAUUAGUAUUCAAUUGUCAGAGGUGAAAUUCUUGGAUUUAUUGAAGACUAACUACUGCGAAAGCAUUUGCCAAGGAUGUUUUCAUUAAUCAAGAACGAAAGUUAGGGGAUCGAAGACGAUCAGAUACCGUCGUAGUCUUAACCAUAAACUAUGCCGACUAGGGAUCGGAUGAUGUUAAUUUUUUAAUGACUCAUUCGGCGCCUUACG
rnacentral:rRNA from 1 species